rnacentral:miRNA from 1 species
UUCAAGUAAUCCAGGAUAGGUUUGUUCAAACAGCCAAAGCCUAUUCUGCAUGACUUGGUUC